UACGUAGGGGGGCUAGCGUUGUCCGGAAUCAUUGGGCGUAAAGAGCGUGUAGGCGGUCCGGUAAGUCCGUUGUGAAAGUCAAGGGCUCAACCCUUGAAUGCCGGCGGAUACUGUCGGGCUAGAGUCCGGAAGAGGCAAGUGGAAUUCCCGGUGUAGCGGUGAAAUGCGUAGAUAUCGGGGAGGAACAUCAGUUGCGAAGGCGGCUCUCUGGACCAGCACUGACACUGAGGCACGAAAGCGUGGGGAGCAAACAGG
rnacentral:rRNA from 1 species